rnacentral:rRNA from 1 species
UUCCUACGGGGGGCAGCAGUGGGGAAUAUUGCACAAUGGGGGAAACCCUGAUGCAGCGACGCCGCGUGAAGGAAGAAGUAUUUCGGUAUGUAAACUUCUAUCAGCAGGGAAGAAAAUGACGGUACCUGACUAAGAAGCCCCGGCUAACUACGUGCCAGCAGCCGCGGUAAUACGUAGGGAGCGAGCGUUGUCCGGAAUUACUGGGUGUAAAGGGAGCGUAGGCGGGGAUGCAAGUUGGGUGUCAAAACUACCGGCUCAACUGGUAGUCGCACUCAAA